rnacentral:rRNA from 1 species
CGCCCGCCGGCGACCGGCGCACGGGUGAGUAACACGUAUGCAACCUGGCCGCCACGGGGGGAUAACCCGCGGAAACGCGGCCUAAUACCCCGUGACGCCACCGGAGGGCAUCCUCCGGUGGCCAAAGGAGCGAUCCGGUGGCGGAUGGGCAUGCGGCGCAUUAGCUAGACGGCGGGGUGACGGCCCACCGUGGCGACGAUGCGUAGGGGUUCUGAGAGGAAGGUCCCCCACACUGGUACUGAGACACGGACCAGACUCCUACGGGAGGCAGCAG